GACUCCAUCUGAGGGGGGGUUCCUGUCCCAGAACACAAACAGGUCCCAAGAAUCGGCCAUUUUCUCCCGUUUUGAAAGGUUUUUCGCAGACUUGGAAACCAUAUGACAUCGAUUCUAUAUCACAUUCUCCGAUUCUUGACGCCUGUGGCUGACAGCCCAAGCCACCAUAUCUUGCCAUCCGCCAAUCCCGAAUUAAAGAAAACAAACGUGAAACCAUUAGCCCAACCAAGACAAACGGAGGAGAAACUUAGCCUCCAAACAUAAAAGGCGAAGUUUUGAAACUCGUUUUCGUGAUGCCAGCGUGCUCGCCCAUGAAUAAGAAAGAAUAUCUAAUUCGUAUCACGAUUUUGCUCCGCCACCCAGGGAAUAAUUAAGCGCAUCUUCUUCGUUCUGUGGCUGCAAACUAAGUUGCGCUCGAAGCACUCUCGUGAAUAUUCUUGUUUUGGAGCUCUUCUACCCACCCGCUGAUGGAUGAGAGGCUAAGCACAGUUCGUGUCUGAGGGAAGCCAACGAUAGCGCCAAUUGCAACGGGGAUUUGGAAUUGAAAGCAAAAGAACAGAAAAGAAAAUACAAAUGCAAAUGAAAA
rnacentral:sRNA from 1 species